ensembl:lincRNA
ACAUCAGAAUGGAAAUGAAGCCAGGUAUAACGAUACACACCUGUAAUCCAGGGGGACAGAGGCGGCACAGCCGGACUUCGGGGAGACGGGACGGACCGGCUGGACAGGUGGACCGCGCCUGCCUAGGGAGACGGACGUAGAGAGGUGGAUACAGGGAGCAGGCCGCAGACACACAGACAGACAGACAGACAGACAGACGGGAUGGGUGGGUCAGGACAGGACGGGAAGCUGCACAGAGAUGCGUGUCAGGAUGACAGGAGCACGGUGGGCAGCACGGAGGUGACGGACGGCACACGCAGGCGUGAGAGAGCCACGCGGACGGACGGACGGACGGCGGACAGACAGACGUCAGAGGACAGCCGGUGGGGAGGGUGCGGCUGCUCUUUCCCUCCCUCGCAGGCUCCUGUGGGGCGCCCAGGCCCCCGCAUCCGACAGGGAGCCGCCCACCGACCGCUCUCGUCCUCGGCCUCCCCCGGCAGCAACACCGCUCUCUGUCCCAGAUUCCUGCCAGCAAACGCCCCGGCCGCCCUGGCCCGAGUGGCCCCGGUUCUCCCUGGUGUGCAGCCUGGUGUUACUCCUGGUCGUGGCCCCGCUGCUCCUGGCGCUGUGGAAGGCACAGAGGGUGAAGAAGCUGCUCAUGCCCAGCGUGCCGGACCCCAAGGGCUCCUUUCCCGGGCUGUUCGAACACCACCAGGGGGACUUCCAGGUGCGGCCACCCCCGGACCCGGUCCCCUCGCAGGCUGUGGGCUCGGCGGCCGCGCAGAAACAGCACGGCGCGCCAGGGAGUUUAGGUCGGGGGCGCAGCUCCGAGGGCACGGGGCUCAGGGUGCGGUGCACGGUCGGCUGCCCCAGGGGUCUCAGAAGGCUCAGGCCCGGCCUGCCUCCCCAGUCACCCAGGACCCACCCCAGGUGUCUUCUCUGGGGACGAUCCCGGGAUGUCUACCAGGGCGGUCACCUUGUGGACCUCCUGGAACCCUCUGGGGGCUCCCAGCGGAGCCCGUGUCCCUCGUCCUGACUCAGUUUCCCCUCCUGUAGGAGUGGAUCGCCGACACCCAGGACGUGGCCCGGUGGAAGAAGCCACCGAGUGGGGACCAGGACACGGGUUCGGAGCAGACGCUGGAGGUCCAGCUGUCCGGGAUGGACACAGUACUGCCCCCGGGGACCGGGCCCCUGUCCCCACACACGAGGGAGCAGGAAGCCCCCCCGGGGUCCCCGCAGCACCCUCCCCAGGACCCCCAGGGCAGUAACGUGAUCUCCAUCGGGAGCUUCACAUUCGUGAUGACCGACGGUGCCUACAUGAAGCUGUGAACUCGGGAUCCUCCUGACUCAGCCUCCUGAGUAGCGGGGAUGGCAGGCGCGCACCCCCCCCGUCUCUCUUGUUUAAUUGUAUUUUGUGGCACUCGGGGUUGAUCCCAGGGCCCUUCCCGUGAGGGGGACACUGUUGAGGUACCCCCUGAGCUCUCUGCUUUCAUUUUGAGACCGGCUGUGCGUCUGAGUGGAUCUGGUUGACCUCCAACUCGAGACCCUCCUGCCUCUGCCUCCCGUGGGGCUGGGUCACACAUGGGCACCUCCUCUCUCCUGCCUUUUGUGUUUUUGUGUGCACAGCGGGUUAAGAACUUUUUAACCUGUUGGGUUCGCGAAACAGAUUUCUCCACGGACGUGUGAAAGCCCAGAAGCCGCCGUGCUCACGGGGCUGCAGGGAGGGCAGGCACCUGUGUCCCGCACACCGGCUGUGCUGCCGGCUGCCCAGAUUUCUAAACAAACCCGCCAACCCCGGUCUAAAACGU